rnacentral:rRNA from 1 species
UACAGAGGGUGCAAGCGUUAAUCGGAUUUUACUGGGCGGUAAAGCGCGCGUAGGCGGCUAAUUAAGUCAAAUGUGAAAUCCCCGAGCUUAACUUGGGAAUUGCAUUCGAUACUGGUUAGCUAGAGUGUGGGAGAGGAUGGUAGAAUUCCAGGUGUAGCGGUGAAAUGCGUAGAGAUCUGGAGGAAUACCGAUGGCGAAGGCAGCCAUCUGGCCUAACACUGACGCUGAGGUGGCGAAAGCAUGGGGGAG